rnacentral:rRNA from 1 species
AACGAACGCUGGCGGCAUGCCUAACACAUGCAAGUCGAACGAGACCUUCGGGUCUAGUGGCGCACGGGUGCGUAACGCGUGGGAACCUGCCCUUAGGUUCGGAAUAACUCCCCGAAAGGGGUGCUAAUACCGGAUAAUGUCUUCGGACCAAAGAUUUAUCGCCUUUGGAUGGGCCCGCGUUGGAUUAGCUAGUUGGUAGGGUAAAAGCCUACAAAGGCGACGAUCCAUAGCUGGUCUGAGAGGAUGAUCAGCCACACUGGGACUGAGACACGGCCCAGACUCCUACGGGAGGAAGCAGUGGGGAAUAUUGGACAAUGGGCGAAAGCCUGAUCCAGCAAUGCCGCGUGAGUGAUGAAGGCCUUAGGGUUGUAAAGCUCUUUUACCCGGGAUGAUAAUGACAGUACCGGGAGAAUAAGCGCCGGCUAACUCCGUG